rnacentral:rRNA from 1 species
GGACGUGCGGGUGCUAAUACAUGCAAGUCGAGCGAAUGGAUUAAGAGCUUGCUCUUAUGAAGUUAGCGGCGGACGGGUGAGUAACACGUGGGUAACCUGCCCAUAAGACUGGGAUAACUCCGGGAAACCGGGGCUAAUACCGGAUAACAUUUUGAACUGCAUGGUUCGAAAUUGAAAGGCGGCUUCGGCUGUCACUUAUGGAUGGACCCGCGUCGCAUUAGCUAGUUGGUGAGGUAACGGCUCACCAAGGCAACGAUGCGUAGCCGACCUGAGAGGGUGAUCGGCCACACUGGGACUGAGACACGGCCCAGACUCCUACGGGAGGCAGCAGUAGGGAAUCUUCCGCAAUGGACGAAAGUCUGACGGAGCAACGCCGCGUGAGUGAUGAAGGCUUUCGGGUCGUAAAACUCUGUUGUUAGGGAAGAACAAGUGCUAGUUGAAUAAGCUGGCACCUUGACGGUACCUAACCAGAAAGCCACGGCUAACUACGUGCCAGCAGCCGCGGUAAUACGUAGGUGGCAAGCGUUAUCCGGAAUUAUUGGGCGUAAAGCGCGCGCAGGUGGUUUCUUAAGUCUGAUGUGAAAGCCCACGGCUCAACCGUGGAGGGUCAUUGGAAACUGGGAGACUUGAGUGCAGAAGAGGAAAGUGGAAUUCCAUGUGUAGCGGUGAAAUGCGUAGAGAUAUGGAGGAACACCAGUGGCGAAGGCGACUUUCUGGUCUGUAACUGACACUGAGGCGCGAAAGCGUGGGGGAGCAAACAGGAUUAGAUACCCUGGGUAGUCCAA